rnacentral:rRNA from 1 species
UACGUAGGGGGCUAGCGUUGUCCGGAAUCAUUGGGCGUAAAGCACGCGUAGGCGGCCCUGUAAGUCCGCUGUGAAAGUCAAAGGCUCAACCUUUGAAAGCCGGUGGAUACUGCAGGGCUAGAGUCCGGAAGAGGCGAGUGGAAUUCCUGGUGUAGCGGUGGAAUGCGCAGAUAUCAGGAGGAACACCAAUAGCGAAGGCAGCUCGCUGGGACGGUACUGACGCUAAGGCGCGAAAGCGUGGGGAGCGAACGAGG